rnacentral:rRNA from 1 species
AACGAACGCUGGCGGCAUGCCUAACACAUGCAAGUCGAACGAACCCUUCGGGGUUAGUGGCGCACGGGUGCGUAACGCGUGGGGAUCUGCCCUUUGCUUCGGAAUAACAGUUAGAAAUGACUGCUAAUACCGGAUGAUGUCGAAAGACCAAAGGUUUAUCGGCAAAGGAUGAACCCGCGUAGGAUUAGCUAGUUGGUGGGGUAAAGGCCUACCAAGGCGACGAUCCUUAGCUGGUCUGAGAGGAUGAUCAGCCACACUGGGACUGAGACACGGCCCAGACUCCUACGGGAGGCAGCAGUGGGGAAUAUUGGACAAUGGGCGAAAGCCUGAUCCAGCAAUGCCGCGUGAGUGAUGAAGGCCUUAGGGUUGUAAAGCUCUUUUACCAGGGAUGAUAAUGACAGUACCUGGAGAAUAAGCUCCGGCUAACUCCGUGCCAGCAGCCGCCGUAAGAC